UUUGUUUUAAUUGAUAUCUCUUCUUGAGAUUUAAUAGCCAAGGCUUUUAAAAAGGAAAUGUUGCUACCUUAUACAAGAUGAUCCAUAGGCAAUAGUGUUCCCUUCUUCAUCUCUGUAUCAACAUACAUCAAUUUACUUCACGUUCUCCUCCUCCUUCCAAGAUCAAAUAUUCUAAUCUUCCUCCGUCGAUUUCAUGGUUAUAACAUCGAUAUACUAUGAAUCUUAUCAAUCUGAAUAUUACUUUGUAAUGAAAUAAGGUAUCGAGAAGCUUUAAAGAGGCGAUCUUGGCUUGAUCCGUUGUCUACGAUCUUCUACGAGCUCAUACGCGCAAUUAAGGUAUGUUAAGUCUAUCCCUUCUUUCUUUUUGGCAUGAUCCAAGUGAUGCAAACGAAACGAGCAAAAUACGCAACUCUCAUAAAUGACUCUAUUCAUAAAAAUACCAGGGGUGUCUAUAUUCUUGAUUCCACAUGUGAAUUAUUAUUAUAUCCUCUGUUCAUGGGUCUCAGAAAAAUAUGUAUUUGAUAAAGUUUGUCCGAAAGACAUAUUGAUUUUAUAAUAGUCGAGAAAUCUUAUUAAUGUAUUUCUUAUGCAUUUCAUGCAUUUAUACGUGUACAUUGACCCAUGACCAGAAAGCGUUAUAUACGCGCAUAUUAUAUGUAUAUGGGAUAUGGGAAAAGGUUACGACGUUAUAUACGCACCACCACCUGAUCAGCUGGUAUAUGUUGAUGAUUUGCCCACAGUGGCCGAGAUGAUAUGAUGGGAUGCCCUCAGAGGCUUGAUGAUGUUAUGUACGCAUAUACCUAUGCAUGGUAUGACAUUUAUACGUAUAUGCAUGACAUUAUAACUAUGAAAUGAUUCACAGGGUUAUUCAGACUUACAUGUCUUUUACUCCAUGUUUCUCUCAUGUCUAUUAUUUACUGAUUUUCAUUCCUUACAUACUCGGUAUAUUAUUUGUACCGACGUCCCUUUUGCCUGGGGACGCUGCGUUUCAUGCCCGUAGGUCCUGAUAGACAGGUUGCGAGUUCUCCAAGUAGGCUAUCAGCUCAGCGGAAGGUAUUAGUACGCUCCAUUUGCUCCGGAGUUGCUUAUUUGGUCAGUAUGAUUUGAACAUGUAUUAAUUAGUAUGGCGGGGCCCUGUCCCGGCCUUUAUGGUAUUCAUCUACUCUUAGAGGCUUGUAGACAUAUGUCAUGUACGUGAAAGAUUGUACGGCCUUAUCGGCCUAU
rnacentral:lncRNA from 1 species